rnacentral:lncRNA from 1 species
GCGCGAACUCUGGCACAUCAGCGUCCUACAAUGUGUGCCGCCUCUCCUACCUCGUAGCACGCGCAUACCUGAGGUCGCGCACAACUCUCAAAAUUCUACCUCAAAUCACGUGAAAAUUUUGACGCACUUUACUAAAUCGCACAAGAAUUUUUGUGCGCUCCACCAAAUCGCUUGAUAGUUUCACCUCGCUUAACCAAAUUGCGCGAGCUCUUCAACGCGCCUACCAAAUCGCGCUCGCUAUCAAACGAAUAAAUA